rnacentral:lncRNA from 1 species
UUGAAGAUUUGCAGGAUAUCCUUGAACUUUCACUGUGCAGGGAUGAGGAUGACCAGAGUGCAAAGGAAUUUGAAGCUGUAUUCAAAGAACAAGCUAAGGCACUCUUAAUGAGUAAUAAAGGGUUUUGGCAUUAUCUGUUCCAGGGGGAGAUUGUUGGGAUUGAACCCUAACAGAGGAACAGAUAAUGUAAAGCCAAAACCGGAUCCCAUCAGUGGACUUCAAAUAAGCAGCAGUUUACUCUAAUCUCUCCCCUUGACAGUGGUUAUCUAACAACUGAUAAUCUUAAGUGCUGCUCAACUACAACAACUGAUAAACCAAACUCUGAUGAUUACCUAACAACUGCUAAAGACAAACUCUGUUGCUCUAUCUACUGUUGUUUCCUAAGUGCUGCUGAAGACUCAAGCACUGCCCUCUCAAAGACUGAUCACCUUUGAAGAAAGCAUUG